rnacentral:rRNA from 1 species
ACGAGCCUGUGAGGGGGGAGCAAAUCCCAGAAAUAACGUCCCAGUUCGGAUUGCAGUCUGCAACUCGACUGCAUGAAGCUGGAAUCGCUAGUAAUCGCGAAUCAGCAUGUCGCGGUGAAUACGUUCCCGGGUCUUGUACACACCGCCCGUCACACCAUGGGAGUCGGAAAUGCCCGAAGCCAGUGACCCAACCUUUAAGGAGGGAGCUGUCGAAGGCAGGUCUGGUAACUGGGGUGAAGUCGUAACAAGGUACC